GAAAAAAUGUAGAAUGUAUAUUGCAUAUACCUACCUAAAAUAAAUGAUAUGAUUCAGCUCGCAUAUAGAGUCGCACCAAGCUCUAUGCUGUGCAUGGCAGAUGUAUUUGCUACGACGAAGUGUACGCAUGUCAUCAAAAUUUCUAUGGAAAUAUGACAUUUAAAAACACUAUGGUUUAUCAAAGUUGGUGCAAAGUUAUACGGAAUCAAGUCGAGUCGUACCAUUCGGUCAAAAGUUCAAGCCGAGCGCACAACCCCGCGCAACUAGAUAUAUACCUAAGUUGCAAGGACGACGCGUCGUCGUCGUCGUCGACGCGACGUUCUCGACGCAACUGUCACGCAUUUUGGGACAUUCCCAUUCGUUCUACAUAACAACUAAAUGACAAAAAAAUGUCGAACAAAAUAUAAUACGGUUCGUCCAAAUCAAAGAUUCAUUUAUUGCAUUCGAUGUGUAAAGUCUAAGACAGAUGCUGUUUUCGAAUUUGACCAUAUGCCUACCAUAUUAUAGUGCGGUUCCGACGGUUCCGUAAUGCGGCACCUCUGCAUAGUUGUCAAAAUGUGACAAUAGGGCUGGCAACUGUCAAAGAUUUUUAGAGAUGGCGCCAGCAUAGAUUAUACCUGUCUAGUUUUGUUCUAUGGGAUUUAACUAUUUUAAGACUUGUUGUACUACUAACAUUAUAUGGAUCUCUCCGAUUCGAAAUAAAUAAAUAAUUGAAUUGAAUUUGAAUUUAGCUUCGAGGCUACCUUCCAGCCAAAAUUCCAAAGAAAAUACGUGCAUUCUACAUUCGACUCUACUCAUAGGAUUGAAGGUACAAUAAAAACCCAUGCUGGCGCCAUCUGUUGAAUACUUCGACCGACCAACCCCAUUCAGUUACUACAAAACCGUUCAAAUCUUCUGGCACGUUUUCUCUUCGAUUUUACACCCAAAUAGAAGAAAUGAGAAAAAUCUCAGUUCCUUUCUUCCAAAUCAGUCUCAAACUGCCAACAGUUUUAGAAUUUUGAUUGGUCUCGAACACGAGUGAUAUAUAUUUAUAUAUUAAAGUAUAUUUUGGGAGUAUUUCCCGCGUACGAGUAAGCUACGGUUAGCGGGGUACCAUGGGACCUUAAUGUAAGUAUACGCGUCCGGCCUGGAUUGUUAUAUUGUUAUUAUAUUGGACAUGUUUAUUUCGUUUUACCCUCAUUUACUCUAAAAACUUUUUAAUAUCUCUCUGUCUCUCUCUACAACAAAUACCUAAGUGUAGGUACCUACUGUAGGUACCUGAUAUCAAGUUUUUAGGCCAAAUUAGGGUAUUUUUAUACUUUUUAUUAUACUUCUGCCCGCUGUCGCUUUACUCUGUCACAAAUCUAACGUGUGCUGUCUAUUCUAUUGCGAGUACUUGCAUUAGUCAUUCCAACAACAUUUUUAUACUGUGAUUUUUUUAUACAUUUACUUUUUAUUAUUUAUACAAACUUUGCAAUGCAAGCUUCCAUUUUCUGUGAUCUCUUGUAAGGACAUGUUUUGAUAAUUAAUUUAUAUAUUUUAGCAUGAUGCGUAAGAGUAUUUUAAACUUUUAACUUGACAUUUUACAACUCUCUUAUAAUUUUUGUUAUUUUUAUAAUAUAUAUGAUACAAUUAAGUGUUGACAUUACCGUAGUAAACUACGUUAUAAAUAAAUAUUUUAAUUCAUCCGAGCUAUUUAACUAUGUGCUAGAAUACCUACUAUUGUAUUAUUGUUUUAACAUAUUUUGAACGACACAAUUGUUUCGCACGCGACCGGUCCCAUCUUCCAGUUGAAUACAUUUUAGUGCAAAUACAUUUGGACCAACCCUGGAUCGUAAGUUAGUUAUAGUGCGAUGUUUAAUGUUGUGUAAUUAAUUGGCGAAAUUAUUUAGUAAUAAGUUGUGUCGAAUUGUAUGUAAUGGUACCAGGUUAUAAAUUAUAAUAUCUGUAAUAAUUAAAUGGAGGUGGUGAGAACGCUAUGCUUUCGCGCGGAAUCCGCGCAAAUACCGUCAGGUUUCGUACGCGUUUCUAAUAUAGUUGCAUAAUCACUUAAAAUCAAUAAAAACGUGUAUUUUUCUAUUGCAAUUUCCAUACAAAAUGACCUGCCUUCAUUGGUGUUGAGUGAUGUAUCCAAUAACAUUAAAAGCAGCUGUUAAUUGCUAAUAAGGAUCCAAUCGCCGGCGAUCAGUUGUAAAGCGACUAAUGUACAGUCGCUAUCAGAUAUAUCGAAGCGGCCGUGGUGCCCAGAAACAUCUGAACACGCACUCUAGCGCCUUGACAAUGGAAGCGUAAGUAUAUACUUGUAAGCACUUUGGCCGCUCCGAUAUAUCUGAUGAUGGCGACUGUAUACAAACUAUCAACACUGACCUACGGCGGUCGGAACUUCGCAGUUAGGCUACAGUACCGCCGCUACCUUGAGUUGACACUUAACGUUUACACUAGCGUCUGAGCUAUUAGUGCGAUCGAGAGGGAAUGCAAUCGAGCUCACAGUCGCUAGCGUGAAUUUCAACUGUUAACUCAUGGUAGCCGUACAGGACCUUAUACCGCAGUGCCGACAACUAGCCAAAAUAACGUGUCAAUUUCAGAUUAUCAUUCUGAUAGCUAUCGAUUAUUCAAUUCAUAUUUAAACUAGAAUAAAUCAUUCAAAUUCUGAAGAUAUUUUCGCGAAAACAUAGUGACUAGACUUUAACAUAAUAACACGCAUAAUAUUUUAUAUUUCAAUGGUACUUACGUAUAAAUUAUUGCAAAUCGGUGAUUGUUGAACAAGGGUGCUUUGUGUGUUGCCAUGCGGAUAAAUAAUAAUAAUAAAAUUAGAAUUGCUACAAAUUGCGACAAAAGCUUACUAGAGCCGCAACACGUCGAACGUGGUUCGCGG